AUUGAACGCUGGCGGCAGGCCUAACACAUGCAAGUCGAACGGUAACAGGAAGAAGCUUGCUUCUUUGCUGACGAGUGGCGGACGGGUGAGUAAUGUCUGGGAAACUGCCUGAUGGAGGGGGAUAACUACUGGAAACGGUAGCUAAUACCGCAUAACGUCGCAAGACCAAAGAGGGGGACCUUUCGGGCCUCUUGCCAUCGGAUGUGCCCAGAUGGGAUUAGCUAGUAGGUGGGGUAACGGCUCACCUAGGCGACGAUCCCUAGCUGGUCUGAGAGGAUGACCAGCCACACUGGAACUGAGACACGGUCCAGACCCCUACGGGAGGCAGCAGUGGGGAAUAUUGCACAAUGGGCGCAAGCCUGAUGCAGCCAUGCCGCGUGUAUGAAGAAGG
rnacentral:rRNA from 1 species